rnacentral:lncRNA from 1 species
AGGAAAGAUAAUAGUAGAAUCAGAUCAUAGUGUUAAAGAAAAGUUAGAGUUAGAAGUUCAGCCCAAUGGUCCAAGGACUAAAGUGCAAGAUCUUAAUAAAAAAAGUGAUGGUGUACCUAAUCAACAAUAACCAUGUAGUAUUGUACCAGGCAUAGAAAAAAGACAAAUUAUACGACCACAUAAGUAUGAGAAUCUGGUUACAUAUGACUUGACAGUUGCAGGGAUAGUUGAUUUGUAG